rnacentral:rRNA from 1 species
CCUACGGGUGGCAGCAGUGAGGAAUAUUGGUCAAUGGGCGAAAGCCUGAACCAGCCAAGUCGCGUGAAGGAUGACGGCCCUACGGGUUGUAAACCGCUUUUGUAGGGGAGUAACGCGCCUUACGUGUCGCGCUUUGCGUGUACCCGAUGAAUAAGGACCGGCUAAUUCCGUGCCAGCAGCCGCGGUAAUACGGAAGGUCCGGGCGUUAUCCGGAUUUAUUGGGUUUAAAGGGUGCGCAGGCCGCUUGUUAAGCGUGCUGGGAAAGGUCGGGGCGUAACCCCGGCCCUGCAGUGGAAACUGGCGGGCUUGAGUGGGAGAGAAGUAGGCGGAAUGCGUGGUGUAGCGGUGAAAUGCGUAGAUAUGACGAAGAACCCCGAUUGCGAAGGCAGCAUGCUGGAGCGGAACUGACGCUGAGGCACGAAAGCGUGGGUAUCGAACAGGAUUAGAUACCCUUGUAGUC